AUUGAACGCUGGCGGCGUGCCUAACACAUGCAAGUCGAGCGGCAGCGCGGGGCAACCUGGCGGCGAGCGGCGGACGGGUGAGUAACGCUUGGGAAUCUGCCUGUUAGUGGGGGACAACCCGGGGAAACUCGGGCUAAUACCGCAUACGCACUACGGUGGAAAGCCGGGGACCGCAAGGCCUGGCGCUAACAGAUGAGCCCAAGUCGGAUUAGCUAGUUGGUGGGGUAAUGGCCCACCAAGGCGACGAUCCGUAACUGGUCUGAGAGGACGACCAGUCACACCGGAACUGAGACACGGUCCGGACUCCUACGGGAGGCAGCAGUGGGGAAUAUUGGACAAUGGGGGAAACCCUGAUCCAGCGACGCCGCGUGGGUGAAGAAGGCCUGCGGGUUGUAAAGCCCUUUCGGUGGGGAAGAAAAGUUGCGACCUAAUACGUCGUGACCUUGACGUAACCCACUAAAGAAGCACCGGCUAACUCUGUGCCAGCAGCCGCGGUAAUACAGAGGGUGCGAGCGUUAAUCGGAAUUACUGGGCGUAAAGCGCGCGUAGGCGGCUUUGCAAGCCGGAUGUGAAAUCCCCGGGCUUAACCUGGGAACUGCAUUCGGGACUGCAUUGCUCGAGUAUGGGAGAGGGAAGUGGAAUUUCAGGUGUAGCGGUGAAAUGCGUAGAUAUCUGAAGGGAACAUCAGUGGCGAAAGCGACUUCCUGGACCAAUACUGACGCUCAUGUGCGAAAGCGUGGGGAGCAAACAGGAUUAGAUACCCUGGUAGUCCACGCCAUAAACGAUGAGAACUGGCUGUCGGGAGGGUCUGCCUCUCGGUGUCGUAGCUAACGCGUUAAGUUCUCCGCCUGGGGAGUACGGCCGCAAGGUUGAAACUCAAAUGAAUUGACGGGGG
rnacentral:rRNA from 1 species